AACGAACGCUGGCGGCAGGCUUAACACAUGCAAGUCGAGCGCACUCUUAUGAGUGAGCGGCAGACGGGUGAGUAACGCGUGGGAAUCUACCCUUUUCUACGGAAUAACACAGAGAAAUUUGUGCUAAUACCGUAUACGUCCUACUGGAGAAAGAUUUAUCGGAGAAGGAUGAGCCCGCGUUGGAUUAGCUAGUUGGUGAGGUAAAGGCUCACCAAGGCGACGAUCCAUAGCUGGUCUGAGAGGAUGAUCAGCCACACUGGGACUGAGACACGGCCCAGACUCCUACGGGAGGCAGCAGUGGGGAAUAUUGGACAAUGGGGGCAACCCUGAUCCAGCCAUGCCGCGUGAGUGAUGAAGGCCCUAGGGUUGUAAAGCUCUUUCACCGGUGAAGAUAAUGACGGUAACCGGAGAAGAAGCCCCGGCUAACUUCGUGCCAGCAGCCGCGGUAAUACGAAGGGGGCUAGCGUUGUU
rnacentral:rRNA from 1 species